CUCCUCCCAAAGCGUAACGGAGGAGCACGAAGGUUAGCUAAUCCUGGUCGGACAUCAGGAGGUUAGUGCAAUGGCAUAAGCUAGCUUGACUGCGAGCGUGACGGCGCGAGCAGGUGCGAAAGCAGGUCAUAGUGAUCCGGGGGUUCUGAAUGGAAGGGCCAUCGCUCAACGGAUAAAAGGUACUCCGGGGAUAACAGGCUGAUACCGCCCAAGAGUUCAUAUCGACGGCGGUGUUUGGCACCUCGAUGUCGGCUCAUCACAUCCUGGGGCUGAAGUAGGUCCCAAGGGUAUGGCUGUUCGCCAUUUAAAGUGGUACGCGAGCUGGGUUUAGAACGUCGUGAGACAGUUCGGUCCCUAUCUGCCGUGGGCGCUGGAGAAUUGAGGGGGGCUGCUCCUAGUACGAGAGGACCGGAGUGGACGCAUCACUGGUGUUCGGGUUGUCAUGCCAAUGGCACUGCCCGGUAGCUAAAUGCGGAAGAGAUAAGUGCUGAAAGCAUCUAAGCACGAAACUUGCCCCGAGAUGAGUUCUCCCUGAGACUUUAAGUCUCCUGA
rnacentral:rRNA from 1 species